AGCAGCCGCGGUAAUUCCAGCUCCAAUAGCGUAUAUUAAAGUUGUUGCAGUUAAAAAGCUCGUAGUUGAAUUUCGGGAUCAAUACGUCGGUCGUGCUUCGGUACGUACUGGCGUCAUUGAUUUCUCCCUUCUGACGAACCAUGAUGUCAUUAACUUGGUGUCAUGGGAAAUCAGGACUGUUACUUUGAAAAAUUAGAGUGUUUAAAGCAGGCUCACGCUUGAAUACAUUAGCAUGGAAUAAUGAAAUAGGACGUUCGAUCCUAUUUUGUUGGUUUUAGGAUCAACGUAAUGAUUAAUAGGGAUAGUUGGGGGCAUUAGUAUUCAAUUGUCAGAGGUGAAAUUCUUGGAUUUAUUGAAGACUAACUACUGCGAAAGCAUUUGCCAAGGAUGUUUUCAUUAAUCAAGAACGAAAGUUAGGGGAUCGAAGACGAUCAGAUACCGUCGUAGUCU
rnacentral:rRNA from 1 species